UUGAGACAGAGACAGAGCAUGAACAGGGGAGGGUCAGAGAGAGGGAGACACAGAAUCUGGAACAGGCUUCAGGCUCUGAGCUGUCAGCACAGAGCCCGACGCGGGGCUCGAACUCACAGACCCCGAGAUCAUGACCUGAGCCGAAGUCGGCCCCGCUUAACCGACUGAGCCACCCAGGUGCCCCAUGGGUUUACUGUUUAAAAAAAAAAAGGCACAAAAUGGAGCUACUUGUGCUAAGCCCCAAGUCAGCAAAUUAAUUCCUAACCUACUUGCAGAUUCAACCACUCCCUGGGAGUGGAAUUAUAUUUUGUUGUUGUUGUUUCAAAUUUUUGUUUAAAUUCUAGUUAGUAAUAGCCAAAUUAUGGAAAGAGACUGAAUGUCCAUCAACUGAUGAAUGGAUAAAGAAGAUGUGGUUUAUGUAUUCAAUGGAAUACUACGUGGCAAUGAGAAAGAAUAAAAUCAGGUCAUUUUCAGCAAUGUGGAUGGAACUGGAGAGUAUUACGCUAAGUAAAGUAAGUCAGUCAGAGGAAGACAGAUAUGUUUUCACUCAUAUGUGGAUCUUGAGAAACUUAACAGAAGGCCAUGGGGGAAGGGUAGGGGAAAAGAAAAAUAGUUACAGAGAGGGAAGCAAACCAUAAGAGAUUCUUAAAUACUGAGAACAAACUGAGGGUUGGUGGGAGGUGGGAUAGAGGGGAAAGUAGGUGAUGGGCAUUGAGGAGGGCACUUGUUGGGAUGAGCACUGGGUGUUGUAUGGAAGCCAAUUUGACAAUAAAUUAUAUAAAUAAAUAAAUAAAUAAAUAAAUAAAUAAAUAAAUAAAUAAAUAAAUAAAUUCUAGUUAGCAUACAACGUAAUAUUGGUUUCAGGACUGAUGGGUUUUGCCUGGAGUGGAAUUUCAAACCAAUCAGUCUAGAAUUUCCUAAUCAACACUAAUAAAGUAAUUAUGAUAGACUUUGGCCCUUCCCCCAGAGGAAGGUAACCUUGCCUGAAAUAAUCCUUUGUUUUGUUUGUGACUUCCUUGUCCCUGCCCACUUCUGCCUACAAAAGCCUUCUACUUUGUAAGCUCCUCCUUGCUCCUUCUCCAUGCUACAGGAGAUGCUGCCCCAGUCAUAAUCCAUUAGAUCUCAAAUGCACUCCAUCGAAUUUUGUUUUUUAGCAGAGUUGGUGGCAGCAGUGGAUUCUGGCGUGAACUUCCACCAGCAUUUGGGGAUCAGAAACACAGGGAAUACUAUUAUUUCAAAACAUGCUGUCCAUGGUCACCUCUUCUUUGGAGCCUUCCUUGAUCUGCAGCCUCAGCAGGCAAUUCUUUGUCCAGAUCACAAGACAGAUGCACACAUGGCCCCUGCUAACCUGUGACAUCCUCAGAGCCAAGUACAGAGACAGGAUCACCUUCCUUCCCCGAGCAUCUAGCACAGCACCGGCACACAGGCCUCGAGCUCUUAGAACCCCCAAACAGAAUUGCCUGAGAAUCUUCUUAGAAGCACAGGCCCCACCUCAGAGACUCUGAUUCAGAAGGUUAGAUGUGGUGCCCAGGGAGCCGCAUGCUGAGUAACUGCUUCAGGCAAUUCUAAUGAUGUAGCCACUGAGAGGACUGACAAGUGUGGUCGUAGGGGCCAUUAAGGACCUGCAUUUCCCCCACAGGCCCUCCUGACUGUGGUCCCCAAGUCAAUAAACUGAGUAAAUGAGUAAACCCAUUUCUGAGGUUUGGUCUUCAUGCUGAUCUGGUAAAAUGACCACUCAGGCCUCUGCCAGUCCCUGUCCUUUGCUGCCCAGACCUGUUUGCAGCCAGGGUUUCCCUCAGGAUCAUCUCCCAGGUAUGGAGCUUGCUGUCUAAGGGCAUGGGCAUUGUGGGAGCCUUUGUGCUGGAAGGGCUGGCUGGACGCCAUGGGCCAAGCAGCAGAAGAAGCUGGGCCUUGGCUCUGCCCUGUGCCUUAGUUAAAGCACACAGGCUUUACAGGGGGCCACGAAGGUGCUGUGGUGAUGCCGCCUGCACUCUCCAGGGCAGGCAAGAGAGGGAAAUGGCAUGAGUGAGUGUAUGUGUGUGUGUGAAUGUGGGUGUGUGUGUGAGCAUGUGGCAGUCCCAUGGUUCCAGCCAUCUCUGCUCCUGCUCGCGCCCAGCCCGGCUCCCUGCAGUACCCAGCAGAAGUGGGAGAAGCAUGCUUCCCACUCCCAGUCUCCCAUACCAGUCGCCUCUGCUCAGCAUUGCUGAUGGGUCCUGGCAUUUCCUUCUGAAAUGUAGCUCAGAAUUCUGUGCUCAACAUUCAGCUCCAGGCAGCCAUUACAAUCCAUCAGCACUGUCGUGGUGACCAAAAGCUACCCCCAAUAACAGUGCUAGGCUGUAUGUUACCCCUCAGCACCCCAGUUUCCCUCUCAAGCCCCUUCCAGUGAUCCUGGAGGUCCCAUGGGGAGCCGGCUGUGGAAACUUACAUGGGGACUUGCCCAGGUUGCCCUAAGUGUGCCCUUCUUCCCAAGUGCUGUGUGGGUCCUGGGGAUGGCUCAGCCUCCUGUGCAUGACUCUGCUUUCAGGUCGCUGUGGCCUUUUGCUGACACCUGAUGCUGGCAGCAGGACAGCUGUGCCACCUCCUAUCCUCCAGCAGUGUCCCUUUGUGUCCCAACUCCUAAAAAGCCAGAUUCCCUGCCCUGAUGUCUCCCAGGGACACUCUGUCCCUGGGUGCAGCUCUAGCAGUUGCUGGCUGUGUGACCUUGGACAAA